AUUCACAUGUAAAUUAGUAUAUUUUGAACAAAGCAGAUUACCCUCCAUAACGUGGGUGGGCCCCAUGCAAUCAGUUGAAGGUCAUAACAGAAAACACCUAAGCAGCAAAAGAACAAACAAACAAAAAACAAAAUUU